ACGAGGCUCUCUGGGGGAAACUACAAAAAUAAAAUAUCAGCCUUUGAACAAUGAAGCUUGCCUGGAUAGCAUGGACUAAAGGAAGAAGCUGAGGGAAUUUAAUGUCUGAAUAUGCUGUUUGGGAUCUAACUGGAGGCACCUUGGUUUUGUGAAUGCUGCCCUUGGUUCACACAAUGUUAUCGAAUGGCCAAAUCUUUACAUUCAGGUUAAAAAAAACCCUGAAGUCCUGCAGAAGUGAAAAGAGCUGAACCAAACAAACUCCUCUUAAAUCAUGCUCUGAAGUUCAUGGAAGAUGU
rnacentral:lncRNA from 1 species